GACGAACGCUGGCGGCGUGCUUAACACAUGCAAGUCGAACGGAAAGGCCCUGCUUGCAGGGUGCUCGAGUGGCGAACGGGUGAGUAACACGUGGGUGAUCUGCCCCUUACUUUGGGAUAAGCCUGGGAAACUGGGUCUAAUACUGGAUAGGACCAUGCUGUAGGUGGUGUGGUGGAAAGAUUAGUUUCGGUAAGGGAUGAGCUCGCGGCCUAUCAGCUUGUUGGUGGGGUAAUGGCCUACCAAGGCGUCGACGGGUAGCCGGCCUGGGAGGGUGGACGGCGCCAUGGGGACUGCGGGAGGGCCCAGGCUCCAAGGGGGGGCAACGGGGGGAAGUUUGACGAAGGGGGGGCGAGCGUGAGGCGGCGGCCCCCGGGUGGGGAAGCCGGGUUUGGGGUUGUGAACCCCUUUCGUCCGAAGAGAACCCCUUGUGGACGGGAUAGGGAUAGAAAGACCCCGGUAAAUCCGCG
rnacentral:rRNA from 1 species